rnacentral:rRNA from 1 species
UACGUAGGGUGCGAGCGUUGUCCGGAAUUAUUGGGCGUAAAGAGCUCGUAGGCGGUGUGUCGCGUCGGCCGUGAAAACCUGGGGCUCAACUCUGGGCGUGCGGUCGAUACGGGCAUCACUUGAGUUCGGCAGGGGAGACUGGAAUUCCUGGUGUAGCGGUGAAAUGCGCAGAUAUCAGGAGGAACACCGGUGGCGAAGGCGGGUCUCUGGGCCGAUACUGACGCUGAGGAGCGAAAGCAUGGGUAGCGAAUGGG